rnacentral:tRNA from 1 species
AGAGUAGCUCAGUUGGUAGAGCAUCAGCCUUCCAAGCUGAGGGUCGCCGGUUCGAACCCGGUCUC